CCCUUAGAUGUCCUGGGCCGCACGCGUGCUACACUGAUGCAUACAGCGAGUACUUUCCAGCUCCGCGAGGCAGCUGGUAAUCAGCAAUAUGCAUCGUGCUGGGGAUAGAUCUUUGGAAUUAUAGAUCUUGAACGAGGAAUUCCUAGUAAGCGCAAGUCAUUAGCUUGCGCUGAUUAAGUCCCUGCCCUUUGUACACACCGCCCGUCGCUCCUACCGAUUUCGAGUGAUUCGGUGAACCUUUUGGACAGCGUCUGUCCUCGUGUCAGAUGCUGAAAGUCAAGUAAACCAUAUCACUUAGAGGAAGGAGAAGCCGUAACA
rnacentral:rRNA from 1 species